GGGUUGUGAGGUUAAGUGACUAAGCGUACACGGUGGAUGCCUAGGCAGUCAGAGGCGAUGAAGGGCGUGCUAAUCUGCGAAAAGCGUCGGUAAGGUGAUAUGAACCGUUAUAACCGGCGAUACCCGAAUGGGGAAACCCAGUGUGUUUCGACACACUAUCAUGUCAUGAAUACAUAGUGGCAUGAGGCGAACCGGGGGAACUGAAACAUCUAAGUACCCCGAGGAAAAGAAAUCAACCGAGAUUCCCCCAGUAGCGGCGAGCGAACGGGGAGGAGCCCAGAACCUGAAUCGGCUUGUGUGUUAGUGGAAGCGUCUGGAAAGUCGCGCAGCAAAGGGUGAUAGCCCCGUACACUAAAAUGCACAGGUCGUGAGUUCGAUGAGUAGGGCGGGACACGUGACAUCCUGUCUGAAUAUGGGGGGACCAUCCUCCAAGGCUAAAUACUCCUGACUGACCGAUAGUGAACCAGUACCGUGAGGGAAAGGCGAAAAGAACCCCGGCGAGGGGAGUGAAAUAGAACCUGAAACCGUGUACGUACAAGCAGUGGGAGCACCUUCGUGGUGUGACUGCGUACCUUUUGUAUAAUGGGUCAGCGACUUAUAUUUUGUAGCAAGGUUAACCGUAUAGGGGAGCCGUAGGGAAACCGAGUCUUAACUGGGCGAAUAGUUGCAAGGUAUAGACCCGAAACCCGGUGAUCUAGCCAUGGGCAGGUUGAAGGUUGGGUAACACUAACUGGAGGACCGAACCGACUAAUGUUGAAAAAUUAGCGGAUGACUUGUGGCUGGGGGUGAAAGGCCAAUCAAACCGGGAGAUAGCUGGUUCUCCCCGAAAGCUAUUUAGGUAGCGCCUCGUGAACUCAUCUUCGGGGGUAGAGCACUGUUUCGGCUAGGGGGCCAUCCCGGCUUACCAAACCGAUGCAAACUCCGAAUACCGAAGAAUGUUAUCACGGGAGACACACGGCGGGUGCUAACGUCCGUCGUGAAGAGGGAAACAACCCAGACCGCCAGCUAAGGUCCCAAAGUCAUGGUUAAGUGGGAAACGAUGUGGGAAGGCAUAGACAGCCAGGAUGUUGGCUUAGAAGCAGCCAUCAUUUAAAGAAAGCGUAAUAGCUCACUGGUCGAGUCGGCCUGCGCGGAAGAUGUAACGGGGCUAAACCAUGCACCGAAGCUGCGGCAGCGACGCUUAGCGUUGUUGGGUAGGGGAGCGUUCUGUAAGCCGUUGAAGGUGGCCUGUGAGGGUUGCUGGAGGUAUCAGAAGUGCGAAUGCUGACAUAAGUAACGAUAAAGCGGGUGAAAAGCCCGCUCGCCGGAAGACCAAGGGUUCCUGUCCAACGUUAAUCGGGGCAGGGUGAGUCGACCCCUAAGGCGAGGCUGAAAAGCGUAGUCGAUGGGAAACAGGUUAAUAUUCCUGUACUUGGUGUUACUGCGAAGGGGGGACGGAGAAGGCUAGGCUAGCCGGGCGACGGUUGUCCCGGUUUAAGCGUGUAGGGGGUGUGACCUGGUAAAUCCGGUUGCAUACUAACCCUGAGGCGUGAUGACGAUGCACUACGGUGCAGAAGUAGUUGAUGCCCUGCUUCCAGGAAAAUCCUCUAAGCUCCAGGUAACAUUAAAUCGUACCCCAAACCGACACAGGUGGUCAGGUAGAGAAUACCAAGGCGCUUGAGAGAACUCGGGUGAAGGAACUAGGCAAAAUGGUGCCGUAACUUCGGGAGAAGGCACGCUGGCAUGUAGGUGAAGUCCCUUGCGGAUGGAGCUGAAGCCAGUCGAAGAUACCAGCUGGCUGCAACUGUUUAAUAAAAACACAGCACUGUGCAAACACGAAAGUGGACGUAUACGGUGUGACGCCUGCCCGGUGCUGGAAGGUUAAUUGAUGGGGUCAGCCGCAAGGCGAAGCUCUUGAUCGAAGCCCCAGU
rnacentral:rRNA from 1 species